CCUACGGGAGGCAGCAGUGGGGAAUAUUGCACAAUGGGGGAAACCCUGAUGCAGCGACGCCGCGUGAGUGAAGAAGUAUCUCGGUACGUAAAGCUCUAUCAGUAGGGAAGAAAAAGACGGUACCUGACUAAGAAGCCCCGGCUAACUACGAGCCAGCAGCCGCGGUAACACGUAGGGGGCAAGCGUUAUCCGGAUUUACUGGGUGGAAAGGGAGCGUAGACGGCAGCACAAGUCUGGAGUGAAAUCCCGGGGCUUAACCCCGGAACUGCUUUGGAAACUGUGCGGCUGGAGUGCAGUAGGGGUGAGCGGAAUUCCUGGUGUAGCGGUGAAAUGCGUAGAUAUUAGGAGGAACACCGGUGGCGAAGGCGGCUUACUGGACUGUAACUGACGUUGAGGCUCGAAAGCGUGGGGAGCAAACAGGAUUAGAUACCCCUGUAGUC
rnacentral:rRNA from 1 species